ACUUUGUCAGGGUUUUAGGGUUCUUUGGAUCGGGAGCUCGCACUGGCGGAUCGAUCCAUCCGGCAUGCCUGUGAGUAGCUUUGAUGGGACACGCAUUUGCGCUCGACUGAGCUAGAGGCACCGGGAGUAGUGCGCUAUUUGCUGGGAGCUGUGAUCAUGUUUACUGGUGUGAUCCUGCCACUGAUUUUCAUGCUGUUUCGGAAUCGCCGUGUUCCAAGCGCCGCUCCCUUUGCCAAGCAGACGCCAUUUUGAGUACCUCGUUCCAAUCACUUUUGUAAAUUUACUCCACCUGGCCGCACGAAGUUCCCAGGUUUUUGAAAGAACCAGGUUUGUUUUACGAAGGCCUCCUCAAAAUGUUGGUAAAAGUCUCUUGAUUUCUGGUCUUUUAGCGUGAGAGUUUUCGCUUGUUUCAUAACUCAUAGUAGUAAGCACAAGAUCACAAAUUGCUUUUCAGGCGUUGAAGAUCAUUCCCAGAUUCUCAUCUCCAGCUUCCUCAAACCUCGUCUCAGAAUUCCAACUCGCGAGGCUCGCUUCAAAACAGCAUAUAAGUCGUCUAGGAGCCCUCGACUUGUUCUCUCUGUUCUUUAAUUAUUGGAUAAUGUGACUGGCGGUAAUUUUUA